CAGAAGGAGCAAAAGAUGAAAGGCAGCGAGGACCGCCUAACCUCUUGUGGCUGGGAGCUUCGAGACUCCCAGCCAUACUUAGACACUUGCAGCUAGGAUGAGAAGCUACAGCAUUACUUCUGCAGAUUCUCAAAGGAAUCCACGGUCCAAGAUGAGAUAAAUACCAGAGACGAAGGAGGACAGAAGGAGAGAGACUCAUAUAUUCAAAACCACAGGGUAGCUAGAAAAAGUGAAGCAGAGACAUCAUGGAAGGAAAUGAGGCCCUGGCAAGAG